AACCCUAAUUUACCAUCACUUCACUUUGUCUCUCUCUCUCUCUCAUUUGUAUUUGCGGCGGCUCUUUACAGAAACGGUCGACGAUCGCCGUUCUCUCUAGCUUUUGUUCGCCUUUGUUCGCCGUUCUCUCCAUUAUCCGUUUGCAGAAGCGAAAUCGAUCAUCGUUCACGUGUUUGCUGUUGCGAGUCUCCUUCUCUUUGCGAAAACGAUCGCCCUCGGUCUGUCCUUCUCCGCCUUGCGCCUCCUUCGUCGUUCGCCGGAGAUUCAGAUAGUGCGGAAAACAUUUGUAACCGAAGAUGGAGUGAGGAAAGAGCCGAAGCAAGUUGCUAGGGAGAUACUCUCAUUCUUCACACGCAUCAAUUUCCAAGUCAAUGAUCGAGAAGAGACGACCGCGUAGAGGGCCCUGUUUACGUAAAAUCUGAAAUUCUGAAACGAGGAAGAAGAAAUCGGAGCAUUUCUCUUUGAUUUUGAAGUAGAAGGAGAAGAUCAUGGCUUCAGAUCCUAAGCUGAAACCUGAGAUCGGGCCCCGAUGGCCUCGCAAGAGAGCCUCCUGUAAUCGCCUACACCGAGAAGAUAAUCGAGGAAGAGCAACUUCAAUUGAAGAAGUAAGGCUGGCUUUCAAAUGCUGAUUAAGCGCAGUUGCAAAUAGCGGCGCUCUGGGUGAUUUUCUUCUUGGUACUCGGACACAUUUGAGUUGUGUGGGAGAGUGUUUCUCCUGUUUCUUGAAGAUGAAGUAAUUUGAUGGAGGAAUAAGAUGAUCUCUCAGUUGAAAUCAAAUUACGGAAAUUCUAGCAUCAGUAGAUUUGAAACGACUUCUGCAAUCUUGAUUUAGGUAGCUAAGUUUGAGAUUUGGCAGGGAACACAAAUAAUAUGGCACCGGAGUUUGAAGUGUUUUUAUGAUCUUUCCAUCAUCUCCUUACUAUGUCGUUUUGCGGCAACUAAAUGUAAAGAUUAUGGUUUGGGGAAUCAGAUUGAAGGGUUAUCCAGCCGGGUUUUAAGAGACCAUUCUGUUCUAAGAUCAGAAGGCAGCCUUGAAAUCAGUAUCAGUCCCUCUCUUGAAUCUCAUUCUCUGCUUCGUUUUACUAGAUACAUGGAAUAGAAUUAUUCUAAGAUAAGGGAUGUUGAAAGGGAACUCUCAGAUCUUACAAAAACUUUCCGCUGGACCUAAGAAGGCAGUGGUAAGUAUCGAACGAAAAGAUUCGUGCUGCCAAACAGAGGGAAGAACAAGCGCGGAAGGUUUGCCCCUUUUUUCAUGGGUUUCGGAAAUCACUCUAGUCAACUCAAGGAUUGUGAAGCCUUGAACGAUUGGAAGCACUAACUGGAGCAGAGCGUCUAUCUCUACUCCGCAGGUUGGGAUCAAGAGAAUAGGAAAAAGAAAGCUCAGUGCCAAAGAUUAUGCAAGGGGAGAGGAACAUCAGGAUCAGGCUGGACCUGAGGUCGGAUUCCAUCUGGACGGUAGAAUUUGAAGUUGAGAAACCCCCCCCCCCCUUGUUUGGUUCCCUCCUAUGUGUACGUGUCAUUUGCUCAUUUGAUAAGAAAAAUUAGAGGAACUGUUGAGAAUUUGGUUAUCUUGUCUUGAGGAUGGUGGGGGGUUUGUGUGGGGAAUAUUCAUAUCUAUCGAUCAACAAAGCUAAUUAUCAUA